CAGUAGCCGCGGGAAUACGAAGGGGGCUAGCGUUGCUCGGAAUGACUGGGCGUAAAGGGCGCGUAGGCGGAUGGCACAGUCAGAUGUGAAAUUCCCGGGCUUAACCUGGGGGCUGCAUUUGAUACGUGUUGUCUAGAGUGAGGAAGAGGGUUGUGGAAUUCCCAGUGUAGAGGUGAAAUUCGUAGAUAUUGGAAAGAACACCAACGGCGAAAGUACUCUGCUGGGCCGACACUGACACUGAGAGACGAAAGCUAGGGGAGCAAAUGGGAUUAGAUACCCCAGUAGUCCCUGUCUCUUAUAC
rnacentral:rRNA from 1 species